AACGAACGCUGGCGGCAUGCCUAACACAUGCAAGUCGAACGAAGGCUUCGGCCUUAGUGGCGCACGGGUGCGUAACGCGUGGGAAUCUGCCCUUAGGUUCGGAAUAACAGCUGGAAACGGCUGCUAAUACCGGAUGAUAUCGCGAGAUCAAAGACUUAUCGCCUGAGGAUGAGCCCGCGUUGGAUUAGGUAGUUGGUGGGGUAAAGGCCUACCAAGCCGACGAUCCAUAGCUGGUCUGAGAGGAUGAUCAGCCACACUGGGACUGAGACCCGGCCCAGACUCCUACGGGAGGCAGCUGUGGGGGAUAGUGGACAAUGGGCGCAAGCCUGAUCUAGCAAUGCCGCGCGAGUGAUGAAGGCCCUAGGGUUGUAAAGCUCUUUUACCCGGGAAGAUAAUGACUGUACCGGGAGAAUAAGCCCCGGCUAACUCCGUGCCAGCAGCCGCAGUAA
rnacentral:rRNA from 1 species